CGCGCGCAUGCGCAUCCCGCUCUGGUGCGCCAGGGUGGCCGUGAAGUGCGCCUUGCGCCUUCGCCGCACGGUGCCGCGCCCUCGCGCCUCUGGCAGCGGGCAGCCCUGAGGUGAGCGGGCAGGGCCGGAACGCCUCGUGGAGCGUGACAGGCAGGAGACUCACUGAUGGCUGAAGAGUGCGUGACGCAGGCUGACAAGUGGCAUAACAUAAGUUGAUCGUUGCCCUGCUUCAUCAAGUUUGAAGUGUCGUUUUCUGGCUGCUUCACUGUUGAACCCCACAUCAGAUUUGUCUGCAUUGCU